CCGAACUCGACAAAGCAACGUCAUUUCAAUUCAAAACCCUAGAAUCUCCUCUCCCCUCCGUUUUCUCCAAUUUUCGGCGAGAAUCGGUGAUCAUUUCCGUCGGCGAGUCUGCCGCCGUCGAGGAUUUUGUCCUCUCAGGCUAAAACUUAAUUGGAAGAUCUCCGUGAAUUGGGGUCACUCAACAAGCACGCAUGCAUGCUCGAGUUUUGAAGGAAUUUGAUCAUUGUCUUCCCAUGCUUCCAGAACAGAACUGCAAAUACAGUUGAGGAGAUAAUUACAAAUAUCAUGCGCGUCAAGUUAUAUGAAGGACUUCUCCAGUAUGACAGGUACUGUUUCCACAGGCAAGCUUUGAACUGCACCCAUCCAUUUUGUGGAAAACGAGUGGGAAAGUGUAAAUCACUUGAAUCUGGUGGUGGUUUGCUAACUUGUCUGACGAGCUCUUGAUUAUUCCUGGAAUUGGGGAAAAUAGAACAUAAGCAGCCGAAGGUUAUCGUUCUGAAUGUGCUUGAUGAGCUUCUCGAUGAGCAAUCGCCUCUCUGAAGCCCCGAGCUUGGUGACAUCAACAACCUUCUUCUUCUUCACCUUCUGAUCCUCACUGCUGCUUCCAUUCUCA